UACGAAGGGGGCUAGCGUUGCUCGGAAUUACUGGGCGUAAAGGGCGCGUAGGCGGCACUGUUAGUCAGGCGUGAAAGUCCUGGGCUCAACCUGGGAACUGCGCUUGAUACGGCAGAGCUAGAGGAUGGAAGAGGGUCGCGGAAUUCCCAGUGUAGAGGUGAAAUUCGUAGAUAUUGGGAAGAACACCGGUGGCGAAGGGCGGCGACCUGGUCCAUUACUGACGCUGAGGCGCGACAGCGUGGGGAGCAACAGG
rnacentral:rRNA from 1 species